AGCCAGACUCCUACGGGAGGCAGCAGUGGGGGAUAUUGCACAAUGGGGGGAACCCUGAUGCAGCGACGCCGCGUGAGUGAAGAAGUAUUUCGGUAUGUAAAGCUCUAUCAGCAGGGACGAAGAUGACGGUACCUGCAGAAGAAGCCCCGGCUAACUACGUGCCAGCAGCCGCGGUAAUACGUAGGGGGCAAGCGUUAUCCGGAUUUACUGGGUGUAAAGGGGGCGCAGACGGCGAUGCAAGCCAGGAGUGAAAGCCCGGGGCCCAACCCCGGGACUGCUCUUGGAACUGCGUGGCUGGAGUGCGGGAGGGGCAGGCGGAAUUCCUAGUGUAGCGGUGAAAUGCGUAGAUAUUAGGAGGAACACCGGCGGCGAAGGCGGCCUGCUGGACCGUAACUGACGUUGAGGCUCGAAAGCGUGGGGAGCAAACAGGAUUAGAUACCCUUGUAA
rnacentral:rRNA from 1 species